rnacentral:rRNA from 1 species
GACGAACGCUGGCGGCGUGCUAAACACAUGCAAGUCGAACGGAGAGGCCCUGCUUUUGUGGGGUGCUCGAGUGGCGAACGGGUGAGUAACACGUGAGUAACCUGCCCUUGACUUUGGGAUAACUUCAGGAAACUGGGGCUAAUACCGGAUAGGAGCUCCUGCUGCAUGGUGGGGGUUGGAAAGUUUCGGCGGUUGGGGAUGGACUCGCGGCUUAUCAGCUUGUUGGUGGGGUAGUGGCUUACCAAGGCUUUGACGGGUAGCCGGCCUGAGAGGGUGACCGGCCACAUUGGGACUGAGAUACGGCCCAGACUCCUACGGGAGGCAGCAGUGGGGAAUAUUGCACAAUGGGCGGAAGCCUGAUGCAGCAACGCCGCGUGCGGGAUGACGGCCUUCGGGUUGUAAACCGCUUUCGCCUGUGACGAAGCGUGAGUGACGGUAAUGGGUAAAGAAGCACCGGCUAACUACGUGCCAGCAGCCGCGGUGAUACGUAGGGUGCGAGCGUUGUCCGGAUUUAUUGGGCGUAAAGGGCUCGUAGGUGGUUGAUCGCGUCGGAAGUGUAAUCUUGGGGCUUAACCCUGAGCGUGCUUUCGAUACGGGUUGACUUGAGGAAGGUAGGGGAGAAUGGAAUUCCUGGUGGAGCGGUGGAAUGCGCAGAUAUCAGGAGGAACACCAGUGGCGAAGGCGGUUCUCUGGGCCUUUCCUGACGCUGAGGAGCGAAAGCGUGGGGAGCGAACAGGCUUAGAUACCCUGGUAGUCCACGCUGUAAACGGUGGGUACUAGGUGUGGGGUCCAUUCCACGGGUUCCGUGCCGUAGCUAACGCUUUAAGUACCCCGCCUGGGGAGUACGGCCGCAAGGCUAAAACUCAAAGGAAUUGACGGGGCCCCGCACAAGCGGCGGAGCAUGCGGAUUAAUUCGAUGCAACGCGUAGAACCUUACCUGGGUUUGACAUGGAUCGGGAGUGCUCAGAGAUGGGUGUGCCUCUUUUGGGGUCGGUUCACAGGUGGUGCAUGCCUGUCGUCAGCUCGUGUCGUGAGAUGUUGGGUUAAGUCCCGCAACGAGCGCAACCCUUGUUCACUGUUGCCAGCACGUUAUGGUGGGGACUCAGUGGAGACCGCCGGGGUCAACUCGGAGGAAGGUGGGGAUGACGUCAAGUCCUCAUGCCCCUUAUGUCCAGGGCUUCACGCAUGCUACAAUGGCUGGUACAGAGAGUGGCGAGCCUGUGAGGGUGAGCGAAUCUCGGAAAGCCGGUCUCAGUUCGGAUUGGGGUCUGCAACUCGACCUCAUGAAGUCGGAGUCGCUAGUAAUCGCAGAUCAGCAACGCUGCGGUGAAUACGUUCCCGGG